CGAACGGGUGAGUAACACGUGGGCAACCUUUCCUAUCGCGGGGGAUAACACCGGGAAACCGAUGCUAAUACCGCAUGUCGGUCACUGGUCGUAUGGCUGGUGAAGAAAGCAGCAAUGCACGAUGGGGUGGGCCCGCGGCCUAUCAGCUAGUCGGUGGGGUAACGGCCUACCGAGGCGAUGACGGGUAGCUGGUCUGAGAGGACGGCCAGCCACACGGGGACUGAGACACGGCCCCG
rnacentral:rRNA from 1 species